CAGACCUUAGGUUUUGAACUGAGUUACAUCAUCAGCUUUCCUGGUUUUAAGGCUUUCAAACAUGGAUUGGCUUCUCUGAUUCUCCAGUUUGCCGACAACCUAUCCUGGGACUUUCCUGCCAUCAUAAGACCUGUGAAGAAUUCUACCUUCAGACAACUGCUCAACUGGAUUGAAUCUGGGAGAAGAAGAUGGGGGCAUUAUUUCUUGACAGCCACCUAGAUUCCAACAGCAUCAUGCAACAAAUGGUACUGAGACCUUCAGAAUCCUUGAAAAGCUAAUCAGCACUUAUGCAUGAAGGCAAUGUUCUAAACCUUAGUGGUCAGGAAAUGUUUGAGAUUUGAAACAGUUGUUUGAGGUUGAGGCAGAAAGUAAUAAAGAAUACUAAAAUUAUCAAAGAAACACCAAACACAAAUCAAUAGCAUCCAAACGAGCUUUACCUUUAUAGCUGGUACUCUUUCUGUCCUCUUUUCUGCUUCCUAAUAGAUGUUUUUUGGUGAUUUGGUCCUCCUAAGUGCAUGGACAUCGGACAGGAUAGUAUGAGUAUGAUUAGAGGUGUAAGUAUGACUAGAA
rnacentral:lncRNA from 1 species